rnacentral:rRNA from 1 species
GAUGAACGCUGGCGGCGUGCCUAAUACAUGCAAGUCGAGCGAACAGACGAGGAGCUUGCUCCUCAGACGUUAGCGGCGGACGGGUGAGUAACACGUGGAUAACCUACCUAUAAGACUGGGAUAACUUCGGGAAACCGGAGCUAAUACCGGAUAAUAUAUUGAACCGCAUGGUUCAAUAGUGAAAGACGGUUUUGCUGUCACUUAUAGAUGGAUCCGCGCCGCAUUAGCUAGUUGGUAAGGUAACGGCUUACCAAGGCAACGAUGCGUAGCCGACCUGAGAGGGUGAUCGGCCACACUGGAACUGAGACACGGUCCAGACUCCUACGGGAGGCAGCAGUAGGGAAUCUUCCGCAAUGGGCGAAAGCCUGACGGAGCAACGCCGCGUGAGUGAUGAAGGUCUUCGGAUCGUAAAACUCUGUUAUUAGGGAAGAACAAAUGUGUAAGUAACUAUGCACGUCUUGACGGUACCUAAUCAGAAAGCCACGGCUAACUACGUG